UAUAACCCCUCAACUACGCCCCAU
rnacentral:misc_RNA from 1 species